AGCGGGCGAGUGAGCGGCAAGAGCUCAGAUUUGAAAUCGUGUUUCGGCACGAGUUGUAAAUUGCAGGUUGGAGUCUUUGUGGAAGUGCGUGUCCAAGUCCCUUGGAACAGGGCGCCAKUGAGGGUGAGAGCCCCGUGGGAUGCGCAUUGAAGCUGUAAGGCCCUUCUGACGAGUCGAGUUGUUUGGGAAUGCAGCUCUAAGCGGGUGGUAAAUUCCAUCUAAGGCUAAAUAUUGGCGAGAGACCGAUAGCGAACAAGUACUGUGAAGGAAAGAUGAAAAGCACUUUGAAAAGAGAGUGAAACAGCACGUGAAAUUGUUGAAAGGGAAGGGUAUUGGGUCCGACAUGGGGACUGCGCAUCGUUGCUUCUUGUAGGCGGCGCUCUGUGCUCUCUCUGGGCCAGCAUCGGUUUUUGCCGCAGGAUAAGGGGCGUUGGAACGUGGCUCCUCGGAGUGUUAUAGCCAACGCCAGAUGCUGCGAGCGGGGACCGAGGGCUGCGACAUUUGUCUCGGAUGCUGGCAUAACGGCUC
rnacentral:rRNA from 1 species